AGCGAACGCUGGCGGCAGGCCUAACACAUGCAAGUCGAGCGGUCCCUUCGGGGGCAGCGGCGGACGGGUGAGUAACACGUGGGAACGUGCCCUUUGGUUCGGGAUAACUCUGGGAAACUAGAGCUAACACCGGAUACGCCGGAAACGGGAAAGGUUACGCCGAAGGAGCGGCCCGCGUUCGAUUAGGUAGUUGGUGGGGUAAAGGCCCACCAAGCCGACGAUCGAUAGCUGGUCUGAGAGGAUGAUCAGCCACACUGGGACUGAGACACGGCCCAGACUCCUACGGGAGGCAGCAGUGGGGAAUCUUGCGCAAUGGGCGAAAGCCUGACGCAGCCAUGCCGCGUGAAUGAUGAAGGUCUUAGGAUUGUAAAAUUCUUUCAGCGGGGACGAUAAUGAAGGUACCAGACGAAUAAGCCACGGCUAACUUCGUGCCAGCCGCCGCCGUAAAAC
rnacentral:rRNA from 1 species